GGCAUUUAAUUUAAUUUUAGAAUUUCAGGGCGUGCAUUAGUUUUACUUGUUGUGGAGAGAAAAGCAAUUUGACAGUUGUGAGCUGUGGCGAUGUAAUAAAAUUUGUUAAUACUACUAAAACUAUGACACUGUUAAUACUACUAAAACUAUGACACUUAUUUUGGACCGGAGCUCAUAUGAGCUCGGGUGCAAAAACAUCAUGUCCGUAUUAUCAUACAAAAAUAAAAUAAAAUCAGAUAUGCUCCAAG
rnacentral:lncRNA from 1 species